AAAAAAACAAAUGAAGCUAUUUUUUAUACUGGCUUUCUUUUUAACAAUUUGCCUAAAAAUAUGGAAAAUCAAAGGAAAUAGAUUACAAAUACCAUUCAAAAAAAAAGAUUGACAAAAGGGCUAAAAUGGAAAAAAAUAAAAGAUGGCAAAAAAAAUGAAAAUGAAGAAACUUACGAAGAUCAAAUUUAUAAUACAGGGCCACUUCUCCUAGUCUCUAUCAUUGCAAGAACAAAUAUUAUUUAUCCUUAUGUGGGGAACGCUAGCAAUAAAAAAAAUGUAAAGAAAUAAAAAAUGUUGUCUUUUAUGCAUAUACUACAGAACUGUUUUAUGUUGCACAAGUUGAAUGUAAAAAAGAUGUUAUUAUUCAUGGAGAAAAUGGAGAACUCAGCUUUGAUUUUGAAGAUAAAGAAAUUUUUGUUAAUACAGAUAUAAUUGUUACAAGAAAAACUAUUAAACAUCCAAGCCAUGUUAAAGUAACAUCAUACAAAGUUGGAGAAGUUCCAUUGCAUUGCCCAAGUGUAAAUAACUUAAAUACUGUACUAAUUGAUCGGAGCUUUGAUGUAAAAAUUGAUCAAAAAUACACCAAACAUUUGGAACUGGUUUUUAUUGGAAUUGUUAAAAAAACAACCCUUGAAAUAGAAUUCCCGCUUGUAGAUGUCGAAACUGGAAGUAUAAAAAAUUAUCAAUUUGAUGAAUUUUCUUAUAUUAUUUAUGAAGGAAGCCAAAUUUUUACUUCAAUCCCAAUUCUAGGUGGAAAUAUCUGUGAUAUUAAGGUUUCUAGUACAAUUAAAUGUAGUCCAGGAAGCCCAAUCAACUUUAUUUAUGAAUUAGAAAACGGAAACUUAGUGAACAAUCAAGUUAAAGUACUGACAAUUGAUCUGUUUGGAAAACAUGUUUAUCAAGAUCAAAAUCUAAAUAAACUAUUAGAACGUGUAAAAAAAGCGCUUAUUGAUGAUAAUGAUCAAUAAAUAAUUAUUAGGCUGAAUUAUGAGAAUAUCAACCAAUUUUAAAAUUAUUUUGAAUAGGCCGUGCAAAGCUCAACUAUACUAUUUGAUUUAGAUAUUUCCCGAAAAAAAAUACUUAGAAAAACUUAAAUAACUUAAAUUUAUUGGCUAUACUAAUCUUUGAAGAAAUCAAAUUAACAUUUAAUUGGCAAUAUUUUAC
rnacentral:lncRNA from 1 species